rnacentral:rRNA from 1 species
GCAUAUCAAUAAGCGGAGGAAAAGAAACCAACAGGGAUUGCCUCAGUAACGGCGAAGUGAAGCGGCAACAGCUCAAAUUUGAAAUCUGGCCCUAGGCCCGAGUUGUAAUUUGCAGAGGAUGCUUUUGGCAAGGUGCCUUCCGAGUUCCCUGGAACGGGACGCCAUAGAGGGUGAGAGCCCCGUCUGGUCGGACACCGAGCCUCUGUAAAGCUCCUUCGACGAGUCGAGUAGUUUGGGAAUGCUGCUCAAAAUGGGAGGUAUAUGUCUUCUAAAGCUAAAUACCGGCCAGAGACCGAUAGCGCACAAGUAGAGUGAUCGAAAGAUGAAAAGCACUUUGAAAAGAGAGUUAAAUAGCACGUGAAAUUGUUGAAAGGGGAAGCGUUUAUGACCAGACUUGGCCCGGUUGAUCAUCCAGCCUUCUGGCUGGUGCACUCUGCCGGUCCAGGCCAGCAUCAGUUCGUCGCGGGGGAUAAAGGUUUCGGGAAUGUAUCUCCUCCGGGAGUGUUAUAGCCCGUUGCGUAAUACCCUGCGGUGGACUGAGGUCCGCGCUCUGCAAGGAUGCUGGCGUAAUGGUCAUCAACGACCCGUCUUGAAACACGGACCAAGGAGUCGUCUUCGUAUGCGAGUGUUCGGGUGUAAAACCCCUACGCGUAAUGAAAGUGAACGCAGGUGAGAGCUUCGGCGCAUCAUCGACCGAUCCUGAUGUUCUCGGAUGGAUUUGAGUAAGAGCAUACGGGGCCGGACCCGAAAGAAGGUGAACUAUGCCUGUAUAGGGUGAAGCCAGAGGAAACUCUGGUGGAGGCUCGCAGCGGUUCUGACGUGCAAAUCGAUCGUCAAAUAUGGGCAUGGGGGCGAAAGACUAAUCGAACCUUCUAGUAGCUGGUUUCUGCCGAAG